rnacentral:rRNA from 1 species
AUACGGAGGGUGCAAGCGUUACUCGGAAUCACUGGGCGUAAAGCGCGCGCAGGCGGGCUGAUAAGUUGGAUGUGAAAGCCUACGGCUCAACCGUAGAACUGCAUCCAAAACUGUCAGUCUAGAGUGUGGGAGAGGAAGAUGGAAUUAGUUGUGUAGGGGUAAAAUCCGUAGAGAUAACCAGGAAUACCAAAAGCGAAGGCAAUCUUCUGGAACACUACUGACGCUGAGGCGCGAAGGCGUGGGGAGCAAACAGGAUUAGAAACCCGAGUAGUCC